UACAGAGGGUGCAAGCGUUGUUCGGAAUUAUUGGGCGUAAAGCGCGUGUAGGCGGCUUUGCAAGUCGGGUGUGAAAGCCCUCGGCUCAACCGAGGAAGUGUGCCCGAAACUGCAGAGCUUGAGUACCGGAGAGGAUGGCGGAAUUCCCCAAGUAGAGGUGAAAUUCGUAGAUAUGGGGAGGAACACCGGUGGCGAAGGCGGCCAUCUGGACGGAUACUGACGCUGAGACGCGAAAGCGUGGGUAGCAAACAGG
rnacentral:rRNA from 1 species